AUGCACUCUGUCCUCCUGGCCUUGGUUCUGUUCGCUGUCCCACCCUGUGUCCAGUCUUCAGUGACCUUGAGCCAGCCUGGGUCAGCACAGCUGAGGCCAUCGGAGACCCUCCGGCUCACCUGCUCCGUUUCGGGAUUCUCCAUCUCUGCUAGCGGGAAUGCAGUGAGCUGGGUCCGUCAGCCCCCAGGGAAAGGUUUGGAGUAUCUGUGCCUCGUGUAUUGGGAUGAUGACAAGCGCUAUUCGGACUCCCUGAGGAAUCGCCUCACCAUCUCCAGAGAUACUUCCAAGAAUGAGGUUUAUCUGGAGAUGAGAGCCAUGCAGGCAGGAGACACUGGCACUUAUUACUGUGCCAGAAGAGAGCACAGCGUACAAAAGCAACAGGGGACCCGUACAAAAAGCAGCUGUAUGGUGACUCAGCACAUCCUGAAGCAGAGUGCUAUGAGCUUGUGUCUCACUAGGAGUUCAUGUUGA